UUGCAGAAAAAUAAUAUAAAAAGCAUUUUGUAGUAACUUCUCGUAUCAGCGGAAUUAGCUUAUACAUCUCAAUUUCGUCAAAAACUAUAUUCUUAAACUACUCAUAAACAUCUAUAAAGAACCAGAGCAGUAGAACGCUUCUUAGAGAAGUAGAGGGUCUCUCUGUACCAACCACCAGGUUCUAACAGAAUACUCCCAUGGCUCCCCCCACACACUCCCCCUAAUCAUUAUAUUGGAAUAUUCCAGCUAACUGCUGAGCUGGCAGAAGCUAUCACUCAGCAGCAGUAUCCUUCAUACGCUCAUACACUUUCCAGACCUUGAGCAUAUUCUGAUUAAAGCCGACUGACACUUUUCCAUCGGACCCAACAACAGGGUCUAUGUCCAGUACCCUAUCAGUGCGUGCACCCGUGGUUAAUGUUUUGGAAGACAGAUAUUUGAGGUAUUGAUGUAAAACCGUGGUUCUGACAAAUUAUUGUUGGUAACAUUUAGCUUAGUAGGUUUUAGGAGUUCACAAAUGAUGUCCUAUGUGAGGAAUGAUAUUAGUCUGGAAUAGGUCUCUAAGGAAUUAAAAAUAUUAUCCUUUCGACUGAUUGAGAGUAGAAUCAGCAACUUUGAGAGAUAUAUGAAACAAGCAACAAAGAAAAACAAAUAGGACUUCUCAGCUAGACAUCUCGGACAGACAGUGACAGCAGUAUUAUGUAUUAACCCUCCUUUGUCUUCUUUAUGAGAUUACAAGACAAAACUGAAAACAAUAAACGGAAUAAAUAUCCUCCCUCAAAAGAAGGAAAUUAUGCAGAAAAAUCAUAUUGAUCACCUGCUUGGAAUCAUAUACAAAUAUGGCUUUUAACAGAAUGCAGUUGCCAAGUUGAACAAUAUAAGGAAUUUAAGAUCAACUUGAAAACAAUAAAAGCAUGCAUUUAACAAGGACAGGCAACCGCACAAAACGAUGACUACCUAUUUAUGAAGAACC
rnacentral:lncRNA from 1 species